UUAGAUCGUACCCACAUUUACUUGGAUAACUGUGGUAAUUCUAGAGCUAAUACAUGCAAACAGAGCUCCGACCGGAGACGGAAGGAGCGCUUUUAUUAGAUCAAAACCGAUCGGUGGUGGAUUUAUCCAUCAUCGCCCAAUUUGUUGAAUCUGAAUAACUUUAAGCUGAUCGCACGGUCUAGCACCGGCGACGCAUCUUUCAAAUGUCUGCCUUAUCAACUGUCGAUGGUAGGUUCUGCGCCUACCAUGGUUGUAACGGGUAACGGGGAAUCAGGGUUCGAUUCCGGAGAGGGAGCCUGAGAAACGGCUACCACAUCCAAGGAAGGCAGCAGGCGCGCAAAUUACCCACUCCCGGCACGGGGAGGUAGUGACGAAAAAUAACGAUACGGGACUCAUCCGAGGCCCCGUAAUCGGAAUGAGUACACUCUAAACCCUUUAACGAGGAUCAAUUGGAGGGCAAGUCUGGUGCCAGCAGCCGCGGUAAUUCCAGUUCCAAUAGCGUAUAUUAAAGUUGUUGCGGUUAAAAAGCUCGUAGUCGAAUUUGUGUCUCGCACCGCCGGUUCAUCGUUCGCGGUGUUAACUGGCGUGCCGUGGGACGUCCUGCCGGUGGGCUUAGCUCGUGAGGGCGGCCCAAAUCAAUCCUGCCACGGUGCUCUUCAUUGAGUGUCGAGGUGGGCCGGCACGUUUACUUUGAACAAAUUAGAGUGCUUAAAGCAGGCUAAAAUUUCGCCUGAAUACUAUGUGCAUGGAAUAAUGGAAUAGGACCUCGGUUCUAUUUUGUUGGUUUUCGGAACCCCGAGGUAAUGAUUAAUAGGAACGGAUGGGGGCAUUC
rnacentral:rRNA from 1 species